CCCUAUGCCACUACGAUUGAGAAUUCUGAAUUUUGCAUGUACCAAUUGUAACGACCCGGUCCUAAAUAAAUGUUUAAUUAUUAAUUAAACAUAAUAAAAGAUCAUUUUGCCCUUAGAAUAUUUUAUUAGGUUUAAAGUUGACUUUUUGACCGGGGAGAAAUUUAGAAAUUUCGACUAUACCGUUGCAUAGAGCACAGCGAGAUGAGUUCAUAGACACAUGGUGGGCUAAAAUCGGAGUUGUAGCAAGAGAGAUACGAUCAAAAUACCCUCAGUGGCAUAAUCGUAAAUAUUACAAAAAGGGUUUAAUAAAAUCUGGUUUUUCUCUCUCUCUCUCUCUCUCUCUCUCUCUCUCUCUCUUCGAUUUUCUCAGCUCCGGCCACGGCAAGGGUCGGCACCAGUCCUGUUCGCUUCGUCUCGACGCCACGGUCAGGACCCGCCCCUUUUCCCGGACGGAGAGCUCGAGAUUUGCCAGCAAUAUCGACUGGUUUCUCUGGUUGUUCACGGCGUCGCUACGGUCGAUUCCGACAGCCAACUCCAGCAACCGAGGUACGAUUUCUCACCUAUUCUUCACACUCUAGCUGCCUGUUGUGUAGGAAUUGGACGAUAUUCAUGUUUAGAAACUCGAUUUAGAAUUUAGGUUUUGGCCGAAUUUUCAAAGUGAAAUUUCAGCCACUUCCGCUGGUUUUUAAGGGUAUGUCCAAGAACAAAAAUGGUUCCAAAUAGGGUGUUACACCUAGGGUAGGACUCUUGAGCCGUGAUUAUGAGUUUUUUCGACGGUGGGUUAUCGCUUUGGACACCCAUGCGCUGCCGGUGCGUAGGUACUGUAGAAAAGGGGCAUUGUGUCCCGAUGCGACCCUUUUGUUGUCUCGAGCGCAUAGGUGUGCGCGGAUUUCAAUUUGAAUACCAUUUGAGUCUCGAACGGAUAUCGCAUAUUGUGCGUUAUCCGGGUUCGAUAGGUUUGAACUGUUGGAUAGUCCUGAAUUUAUAAUAUGUUAAUCUAGGCAUUUCUAAGAUCGUGUAGGAAUUCAAGGAUCGUGAAUCAGAUCCCCAGAUGUUCCGAUUUAAUAACUUAAAGUUUAUGUUUUACAAUAAUCGUCCGAUUGUGCGAUCGCGAGCGAUCCAACCGUUAAUUAGGACCAAAGUUGGGGGACGUGUAUACUAAACCUUGUGGAACCUAUAGGAACUUUCAGAUCGGAAUUUGGAGGUCAUGGGCUCCGUUGACCCGUUUGACCAAGUAUGGGGUAGUUUGACCCUUGGUUGACCGUGAGUCUUCCGGGAUAGUUUCACCUUCGUAGGAGGACUAAAAUGACCGUAGAGACAGGUCUUGAUCGCUAGUUGAGUUAUGUUGAUUAUGAGGGAUUAGGAUAUUAAUUUUAUUAUUUUAAAUUGGGGAAUUAUGGGAUGCUAUAUUGUGGUUGAGGUUUAUGCUAUUUUGGAAAUUAAUACAUACAUAUAUAUAUAUAUAUAUUAUAAAGAUAUAAAGAUGUUUGAUUUCACUAUAAGUACCAUCCUGUGAUUUUGAGGUCUCGCAUGGCGUAAGAUUUUCCGGCGUUGAGACACACCCCAUACAUGGCGUUGGAUGUUCCGGCGUAUGGGGAGAUUUUGUGAUUGUUAGGUCCCAUGUGACGCAAGAUUUUCCGGCGUGAGGACAAACUCCAUAAGUGGCGUUGGAUGUUCCGGCGUAUGGGAGAUGAUAUGAUUGUUAGGUCACACGUGGCGUAGGAUUUUCCGAUGUGCUGACAGACCCCAUAUGUGGCGUUGGAUGUUCCGGCGUAUGGGGAGAUUUUAUGAUUGUUAGGUCUCACGUGGCAUAGGAUUUCUCGACGUUGAGAUAGACCCCAUACGUGGCGUUGGAUGUUCCGGCGUGGAGAUUUUGUGAUUAUUAGGUCCCACGUGGCGUAGGAUUUUCAAACGUGAGGACAGACCCCAUACGUGGCGUUGGAUGUUCUGGCGUAUGGGGAGUUGAUAUGAUUGUUAGGUCACACGUGGCGUAGGAUUUUCCAGCGUGCUGACAGACCCUAUACGUGGCUUUGGAUGUUCCGGCGUUUGGGGAGAUUAUGUGAUUAUUAGGUCUCACGUGGCGUAGGAUUUUCCGGCGUAUGAGGAGAUUUUGUGAUUGUUAGGUCCCACGUGACAUAGAAUUUUCCGGCGUAAGGACAAACCCCAUACGUGGCUUUGGAUGUUCCAGCGUAUGAGGAGAUGAUAUGAUUAUUAGGUCACACGUGACGUAGGAUUUUCCGGUGUGCUGACAGACCUCAUACGCGGCUUUGGAUGUUCCGGCGUAUGGGGAGAUUAUGUGAUUAUUAGGUCUCACACGUGUCGUGGGAUUCUUCCGGCGUGUGAGACAGGCCCCAUACAUGGCGUUGGAUUUUUUUCGGCGUAUGGGGAGAUUAUGUGAUCAUUAGGGAGAUGAAUGAAGGAUUGUGGUAUUGCAUUGGAAAGAACUACGUGUGGCUUGAUCACUCAGUGAGGGUAUGUAGGCAGCCUAGGAUAGUGCCUAGGUGCAGCCGCAGACUAAAUAUUAUUUUUGAGAUUGGUUCUGACCUUGUCAUUGGUCCUGAAAUUCGGUUGAAAACUAGAUGACGUAAAGUGUAUUUAGGCAUUCAUAUUUAUGUUUGAAAUUAUUACUUGCCUUGGUUAAGGUAUUAGUUGACUUAAGAGCUCUGUUGGUAGUUUAGUUUCAGAUUAUUUGAAGGCCGGAGCCCGAUUAUGUGAAUUGCAUGGAAUUAUCUUGUGCAUGUUGCCAGUUAUGGAUAUUAAAUGUGUUUUAUGCAGGCUGAAAUUUUUGGGAUUGUUCAAAUUACAGGGGAGACUCAGCCAAAAUUUCGGCAGAAAGUCUCAUGCCUUUAUUCUGUUUUUGAAUAAAGAGGCUACAGUUUUAGUAAGUGGGCCCGGCAUCGGGGUGAUGUCGGAAUUUCCACAGAAUUCGUCUUGGAUUUCGAAAAAUUCGGGGCGAGUCCUGUCACCAAUGAACUUAUGUACAAGCAUGAAGAUGGCUUUACUCAUGCUGGAGUUGUACUUAAGGAUCUUCUGGUGUCUUUGUUUGUCAACCCUGUGCCCAUAUAGGCCUAAAAUAAAAUUUGGUCUUCUUGUCUUUGCUAUAAAGAAUAAGGUCUCCACAAGUCAUGUCUUUGCGUUUUGGUUGUAAAAAAUAGUAAUUUGUUUUGUUUUGGGUCAUUUGUAGUCGUGGGCAUUACUCAGAAUAAGACUACACUAUUUGUACUGUACUGACCUUUUGUUUGUCAGCCCAUUUAGUACUUUAGAUUUUAUGUGUCAUAUAGAUUAGUUUGCAAUUGAUGUUCUGAAUAAAACAAAGUCGGGUUUGACUCCAUAUUGUAUCAUUCAGUAGUUAUAUUUUUACAUUUCUACAUUUCUUUUUUUAUUGUUAACAAUAGGAAAAAAAAAAUGAAAAAACAUGUCAAAAAACAAAAAAAGGAAACAUGUCAAAAAACAAGCUUUCUUCAAUAUCAAUCAAAAAAAUUUGUAGUGUAUGUUUUCACCCACUCAAAACAAAACAAAAAAUAUUCAUGUCUUCUUCUUUCUCUUCUAUUUUCUCAAAUUGAAACAUUAAAACUUUUAUGAAUUGGAUUUAUAAUUGCCAUUGCAUGCUACUAGAGAAUGAAUUUUAGUUAUUAAAAAAAUUUAUAAUGGUAUUACGUCAUGGUAAAUUUUUUUAUAAAUAUUUUCAUAUUACAUUAUGUGAGGGCUCUCGUUUAAAUUUUGCUCAGGGCCCUCAAAAUCUCAAGGUUGGCCCUGCUCUCUAUGCCCCUACAAUACAAACUUUUAUGAGCUGGACCAAAAUACAUGAGUUCCUCCGUAUACAUGUGUUACGUACGCAUAGCCCAAUCCACUUUUUAACUCCAUAGCCUAAAAGCCGAACCUCUUUUUUACGAGUAAUUUCUGUACGCUCCGAGUACACCAUACAUGUGACAUGUGAAAAUAUUCUUCAAUACACUUGUAUUAGAUGGUACACGAGUCAACUUGUGUACAUAGAAGAACAUAAAAAAAUUUCUCCUUUCUUACUAUGUAAGAAAUAAAUUAAUAUAUAAAUAACCGAGACAUAGAUAUUGGCAUAUUUGUGCAGCACAUCCCUUCAACAAUCAGGAAAAAGAAAAAUAAAUAAGUGUCAAAUUAAAGAUUAACGACCUUUUCAAGUAGCAAAUAAAUGCAUUUUAUACCCAAAAAUCCCUUGUAAUUUAAACUAUUACUUGUAUUAAUAAAAACAUACAAUUAAAUGCAUAUAUAAAUUAUUAAAGAAAUAAAUAUAUAGAUGGAUCAAUAUACAUACACACAUGCAUAUAUGUCAUGUGAUCUUUAUUGUGUGUGUAUAUAUAUAUUUAUUUCUAUGCGUAAUCGCACAUUCCAUUGCCACAAGAAGUGCCUUCCUUGCAGUGGUUGGUGCACUUGCCACAGUUUUGAUUGUGAGACAUUGGAUUCACACAAUGAGCGUUGCAGCAUAUCUCUGAGCUACUGGCCCUGCGCUGCCUUCAGUUUCAAUAAAUAAAAGACAAAGUGAGAGUUUAUUAGAGCACUUUCAUCCAUUUGCCAAGACAAAGCAAAAGGACUGUUACUAUUCACAUGAAUAGUGGCAGCCCUUGUAAAAAGUUUUAGUGUUUUCACCCAUUGCCAUGACAACAACUAUUCACAUGAGAUGUGAUGAAAGAAAUUUGUAUAGAGUUUUGGUAUGGAAAGUGAAAAAUAUGACUAAGUAUUUAUUUUAAAAAAAUUCUAAAAUUAUUUGUAGAUUUUUUUCAAUUUUAAAUUUUCUGUUGCUGUUUCUGACGUCAGCAUACCCUGGCUUGAGCUCGAGCUAAUUUUGCCUGAGGGCUGGCUUGGUUUCGUAGGCCCAAGCAGUUGCCCUGAUAGCUUAAGGCCGCUGGAAUCAUGAAAAGGGGCUUGGGCCCCCUAUUGCCCUGGCAAGGACUGUCCGAUGGAAAGGCUCUUAGACACCAAACAAUGGACAUUUCAACAACUGGAUAGUCAGUGAGUCCAUAAGCAAUUCCACACUUUUCUUAAUAGAUACAUAUUUAUAUCAAUACCAUUAUUUCAAAUUUUGAUUACCAAAUAAUAGCGUAAGAUAUGAUAAUUUUUUAUUUGUUGUGAAUAAAUGAGAUCUAAUUCGGAUACACCAACACUAUAUUAGCCCAAAUAUGAAAUAGCAACAACUUUUAGAGGAUAUACUCUGCGAACGCUUGCCCCAGUAGAUUCAGUCAUGUCUAAGUCCUCCCCUCUUGCGCCAUCGGGCAGCGCCCAGUGAACUUGUGCACUAAAUUUGCCAAAGCAAUCUCUUGGACAGCCAUGGCAAACUGAAUUCCUGGGCAAACUCUUCUGCCAGCCCCAAAUGGAAUGUCGUGGAAGUAAUUGCCCUUAUAAUCUAUGGCACUGUCCAAGAACCUUUCUGGCUCGAACUCCUCUGGUUUGUUGUAUGACUUGGGAUCUCUUCCAAUUUGCCACGCAUUCACUAUAACUUGUGUGUUGGCUUUAAUGUCGUAGCCAUUUAUUUGUGCAUCUUGGGUCGAUAGCCUGGGCAGUAGCAAUGGAAUUGAAGGAUGUAGGCGAAGAGUCUCCUUGAUAACUGCCUUCAAGUAGUGCAUUUCAACCAAAUCAUCCUCUCUAAUUAUGUCUGUUUUCUUGCCAACUAUUCCCCGGACCUCAUUCUGCAAUUUUUCCAUGAUUCUUGGAUGCCUUAAAAGCUCGAACAUUGUCCACUCUAGGAGUGUAAAUGAGGUGUCAGAGCCACCAACAAACACAUCCUACAAGAAUUUUAAUGGUAAAAAUCGAUUAAAAAUUAAUGGAAAAUUAUAUAUAAAACCCAAAAAAUUGGGGUUAGGAAUAACCCACGUGUUAUUUAUCUAUAUCAGAGAGCUUCCAUUGAGGGAUCCCUCAAAUAAGCUUAUUUGAGGGACACCCCUUGUAGGCCCCACUCCGGAUUGUAUUUCACUAAUCCAAACGUUCUAUUUUGUAGAUACUCAUUCAAAGAUCAUCUCUACAAAAAUUCACUUGAAUCCGAUAUUAUUUGACCACUCAAUUAAGUUAUUGAAAUUUUAGCAUUUGCUUGAAGCACCGUGUUCAUUGAUUUUGUAAGACACAAUUGGAUGUCGAAAUGGUUUCCGAUUUGUCUAAUGUUUUGUAAGGAUGAUCUAUGAAUGAAGACCUAAAAAAUAGAUGGUUUGGAUCAUUGGGAAAAAAAUUGUCGUGUACCCUAAAAGGCGUCCCUCAAAUAAAAUUAUUUGAGGGAUCCCUCAAUAGAAGGGGACUGUUAUCUAUAUAUCUAUAUAUAUAAAAAAAGUAAAAGGCUUUAAAAGUGAAACAUUCAAAAACCUUGAAAAUACUCGUGCUUCAAAGAAUUUUUGCUGCUUGGAUUGGAGUAGUGUAGUCUUCUACCUUUUUAAUUAAGGUGCACUGGUCGUGAAAAUGAUUAUGCUUCGAACUCUUUUUCUGCAUGAAGGGCUAGUGGUUGUUCUCUCAUAGGAGAUUUUGGCACUAGUUAAACUUCAAAAAAAAAUAAAAAUGAAGAGGUUAAAAGAAUUCAAAAGAAAAAAAAUUGGAGCCAAACUUUUUCCUAAUAUUAAUGGAGUACAUGACUCAUUUGUUUUGUGUGAUCACCAUUUGGUUAAUGAAUUGUGCACAAAAUUUAAUAAGAUACGGAUCCUCUGCUAUGAUUUUAGUCCCCUUAUAGGAUGGAUCGUACUUUGGAGCACAUGUGGUAGUUCCUACUCACACUCACAAAUACAUAUUGGUUGGUCCAUUAAAAUGCAAAUAUCACCUCUCAUAUCAUUAUGCGAACAUUGGGCACAAGAGUUGUGUUUCCACCGUUGACAAGGGAUUGGAAGAUCUAGCUCGACGGAAAAAUAAGGAAUAAAACUUAUAGAAGCAUGCAUGCCGUCUAUGUAUUGUUGUUAUCAUGGCGAUACUAAUUCGGCAAUUUCUAAUGGGUGAAUUAAAAAAACAUUUUUAAUCUAUAUAUGUAAAGUUAAAUAUCAUUAUGGUUAAAUUUUAAAAUAACUCAUUUAAGAAAAAUUUCAAAACACAGGAAUUAAUUCAUUUUGAAGGGACAGAUACAUUUAUUUAAAAAAUAAUAAUUAAAAGGAGAUAAGAAUCUAUGACCAACAAGAAUUCUAUAUAUAUUACUGUUGAUGCUCAAAAUUAAUGUGAUGAGAAGUUGAAGGAUAUUUAAAGCCCAAUAUACUAUAUAAUGUUGGCAGUCCCGAUCUCUUGGAUCACAUGAGUCCGAGAGAUUGUGGUCACCCACCGUUGGAUAUUAAUCCAAUGGUUCAAAAUGAUAUAUAUAAAUGCAAUAUGACAUAAAUAAUUAUUACCCGAUUUAAGUCAACCGUUGAAUUUAUAUCUAACGGUGAGUGACCAUAACUCUCUUGGACUACAGGGGUCCAAGAGAUCAGGACUGAUAAUGUUGGCUAUGUGUUAAUCCAAGCUAUAUUUUGGGAAGUAAUUCAUUAAAUAAAUAUAGAAAUAUUGUACAAGUCGUGCCAAGCAAGAUACAUUUUCCUAUGCUAAACUACCCGACAAACUUAAAUGGACCUAAGCCACAUAUAUGUAUGGAGAUUGCUGAACGAGUUGUGGUGUGGAUGGUUAUAAUUGUUCAUAAAGCCCGUUGAAGGAUCAGACAAUAAAAGUUUUAGGGCUGCUUGGGAGUACAAAAACUCAUACCCACUUUCCUGAGCCUAAUUACAUGGGUAAGUAGAGACAGAACUUCCAGCCUCUUCCAAAACUCAAACCCACUUUACUGCACACUCAUGGAAAAACCAACUGUUGAGCACUGUACACUCAUGAAUCCUUCUUUGCACAAUCAUUCUAUAGCCUAUAAAUAGACCUUCAUCCCUCCUUGCAAUACACACACCGAAACCAGAAGAAGAACGGCAUGAGGCAAGCUCAUCCUCCCACUGCCGUAAACACAGAAAGCCCAAGCCUUCCUCCAUCACGCUUCUCUUCUUUCAUAACACCACUCCAAGCCCUAAACAUCACACAGAAAACCAUCCCAACUCCCGAAAACACCACAUGCAUCUCACCUUCAACAUAUCUUAUUCCAAUCCAAGCCGCAAAAGCACUCUCUCUUACUAAACUUAUGGAGACUUGUUCUCACACCAUAAGCCUCUCAAGCCAAGCAUCAUAUUGAUUAACUGAAGCAAGCUCCAAUUAAUGCGAAGCGUACAGUAUCGACAUAGUUGCUCUUUACUAGAGACCACUUCCUCUAGCAUCUUCUCCAGCACUAUUAAUUCCACUACUUACAGCACAUAGUUCACUUCAAGAAAAGCACUUCCAACGCAACAAAAUCAAGCAUAAUCAUUCCAGUACCUAUUAAUUGUACAUCAAAACCUGUAAGGAGCCACUGAAUAUAACCAAAUCACUACCCUGUCUUAAACUCUUUCGGGGUGCUUUGGGGCCUGGUGCUGCAAACUCAAAAAGGGUAAAGGAGAUCUCAGUCCACCUCACAUUAGUCCAAUAAGCCCAUUGCAUCUCUCAACAAAAUAGACCCUCAUACAAAUGGCGACUCUGCUAAGGACUAGGCCAUUAUUCUUAGAGCGGCUCCUCAACAAUCACAAACUUUGUGAUUCGUAAGUCACGCCACUGGGGGCUUCAUGCAAAGCAAGUUUUCCGUUGCCUUCUUCAAGUUCUUCCUGCAGCAGGAGAGAUGAAAUCGUUAAUUUUUCUUUGUAUUCAGUAUUUAUUGCUAAAAAAAAAGUUCUUUCGAUCAAUCAAGCUGCUAAAAAAAAGGAGUUAAGCAUCCAGGAGCUGUUGAUUUUAGUUUUCUUCCUGGAACAAUUAGAGAAAAACAAACCAAAUUCUACAACCAUUUGCUGACCGAAGUGGUUUAGGCUUCAUGCCAAGGAAAUUUAGAAAAACAAUAUAAAUAUCAGAGAGAGUGAAUCACUCAAACAGAAACCAAUCCAACAUCAAACAUCCAUCUGCCAACAAUAUUUUAGUCCUCCAUGGUUCUCCUUUUCUUACCAGAUAAAAGAAAAAAAAUGAACGAAAAGCAAAAGAGACAGAAUAUACAAAAACUUAUGUGAAAGCAUCUUCACUUGCUCUGCCCACAGCUCACCAAUCGUGGUCACAAGCACAAGAUAUGAAUUUUGCCACCAAUGCCUCAAGGGUUGAAACGAAAUAACCCCUUGCUAUCACCUUUCUCACAGCGAAAGGAAGAUUUUCUCUGCAAAUUUACACAGAUCGACCACCACCAUCGCUGCAGGACCAGCCAGCUUGCAAUAAACAAUGCAUGAAUCUCCACGUACGGCACCCACUUCAUGCGCCAAUAUUAUAAUGUUAGCCGUGUGUUUUUAUAGUGAGAGUGAGACAGGGCAUGCAACUACUCGCUCAACCCAACUCACCCUGCGCUAGAUUUUUCAUAUCUUUGAAUUAUUUGGUUUUCAGGCACCUAAGGCUUAAAAUAACUUAUAUUCUUUGAAAUUUUUUAUAGGAACUAGUUGUGGCAGAGGUGAUGGGUGGAACGCACCAAGUUAAUUAAAUAAAAAGAAGGCUUAAAUUUCAAAAUGGUCCCUGUAAUUUACUUCAUCGGUCAAUUUAAUUCCCCUAUUAUCAAUUUGGCCAAUUUCGUCCAUGUGUUUAUAUAUAUUAGCAAAACUUCAUCCUUUCCGUCAAAAUUCUGUUAAAACUGAAGAAAAAAAAUAUUUUAAAAUCAAUUUAAAAAACUGCAAUUAAUUAUUAAAUAUUCAAAUUCAAUCUAAAAAUUGAAUUAAUAAAAAAAAAUUGCCUCCCCCAAUUUCACGCUCAGACCUCAACCACCUCCCAACCCCACCUAAACCACCAUUUUUUCUCUCGCACCUUACUCUCCGGCAAAUUGCAAAGAACUUCGUAGCCAGUCAUUGCAGCGCUUGGCUCUGCCAGUUCAUCAUCCUUGUUGUAGCAGAAGUUGGCGACAUUCACACAAACAACAUGCACACUGUAGAUUCUAUAACCCUCUCGAACCCUCGUCGUUGUUUGCACCAAGACCACCGUUGAGCUCGAUUUCUCAACAAGAUUUGCACUCUGCUUCGUCUGGGCGUUGGUUAAUCCGAGAUGAUAGUCUAGGUUGGAGUGGGCUACUAGACCCCCCUUUUCAACCCAAUACAAGAACAUGACUUUUAAUAAUUAAGUUUUUAUUAUUAUUUGAAUUUGAAUAUUUACAUGACCUUUUUUUCUUAAGUUUUAACAGAAUUUUAACAGAAGGGACCACAUUUUCUAAAAUAUACAAAAACAUGGACUCAAUUAGCCAAAUUGAUAACACGAGGACUAAAGUGGUCAAUGAGUUAAAUUUGGAUCUAUAUCUAACUUUUCUAUUUUUUUUAUAUACCAAAACUACCCUCAUCCUUUUCAAGAUAUUCUCAACUCUAAGUACCCUCCUCCUAUCGUUCUCCUUCUUGCCAAUCUCAUCAAAACCCAUCGGAGGAGCUUAUUCCUCCUCCUCAUCCCCACCCCCACAGUAGCCCCAUCCUCAUCCAUGUAGCAGCCCCACCCCCUACCGUGCCAAGGGUAGCAUUCAUAUGUUCAAUCAAUGCUUGAAAUGGUAAAAAUGAACAACAACAAAAUUAACGAUAUAGUUUAUGGUUCUAUUUAAUUCAUUCGCCCUUUCAAACCAGUUGAGUAAAGGCCAUUAGACCCACUAACAGGGCCUAGUCUCGUGGAAAAUAUUGUUAACUUGACAGGACCCGCCCCGAAUUUCCCGAAACCCAAGACGAAUCUUGUGAAAAUUCCGAUAUCACUCCGAUGUCGAACCCAGUCACUAAAACUAAAGCCUCCUUUUCCAAAAGGAAUAAAGGCACGAGACUUUCUGCCGAAAUUUAGGCAGUCUCCCUCGUAAAUUGAACAUUCCCAAAAUUUCAACCUGCAAUAAAACACAAUUUAAAAAGCCAACUACCAGCACACACAAUGUAAUAGCACACAGUUUACAGACAAGGCCUCCAGCCUUCAAAUAAAUCAAGGCAGAACAACUAGUAGUACUCUUAAGUGAAUUAAUAUACUGACAAUGCAACUAAGGAACUCAAAUAAUUUUACAAGUACCACUGCAGUCAACAUGAAAUAACUUCCCAAGUUUUCAAUCUGCAAAGACACAAUAAUACUUCUCACAAAUUUCUAGCAUGCAUCAACUACCAUCUAUGAAUUUUCACCAAUAGUCCCAGGGGCCUCGGCCCAUAAUACCAUAUAAUCAAACCUAAAAACAUGUAUAACGUUUAGUCAACGACUGCACCUAGGCGCUACCCUAGGUUGCCUACGUACCCUUACUGAGGGAUCAAGCCACACGUAGUUCUUUCUACUAAAUCCUAAUUCCAAACACAUACAAUACCUUUAUUCAUCUCUCUGUUAAUCACAUAAUCUCCCCAUAUGCCGAAACAUCCAACGCCAUGUAUGGAGUCUGUCAGCAUGCCGAAAAAUCCUACUCCACGUGUGACCUAACAAUCAUAUCAUCUCCCCAUACGAGGCGUAUGAGGUCUGUCCUCACGUCGGAAAAUCCUACGCCACGUGAGACCUCACAAUCACAUAAUCUCCCCAUACUCUGGAACAUCCAAAGCCACGUAUGGAGUCUGUCGACACGCCGAAAAAUCAUACUCCACGUGCGACCUAACUAUUACAAUAUCUCCCUAUACGUCGAAAAAUCCAACACCACGUAUGAGGUCUGUCCUCACGCCGGAAAAUCCUACAUCACGUGGGACCUAACAAUUACAUAAUCUCCCCAUACGCCGGAACAUCCAAAGCCACGUAUGGGGUCUGUCACAACGCCGGAAAAUCCUACGCCACAUGAGACCUCACAAUCACAAUAUCUCCCCAUACGCCAGAAAAUUCAACGCCACGUAUGGGGUCUGUCAGCACGCUAAAAAAUCCUACGCCACGUGUGACCUAACAACAAUCAUAUCAUCUCUCCAUACGCCGGAACAUCCAAUGCCACGUAUGGGGUCUGUCCUCACGCCGAAAAAUCCUACGCCACGUGGGACCUAACAAUCAUAAAUCUCCCUAUACGCCGGAACAUCCAACGCCACGUAUGAAGUCUGUCUCAACGCCGGAAAAUCCUACUCCACGUGAAACCUAACAAUCACCGGAUGGUACUUACACAGUGUAAUCAUCAUCUUUAUAACUUUAAAAUAUAUAUAUAGAUAAAUUUCCAAUAUUGCCUAAACCUCAACCACAAUAUAGUAUCCGAUAUCCCCCAAUUUAAAACAAUAAAUUAAUAUUCUAUUCCCACAAAAUCAACUUAACUCAAGUAGCGGUUAAGACUCAUCAAUAAGGUCAUUUUAAUCCCUUUAGAAAGGUGAAACUAUCUCGGAAGACUCACGGUCAACCAAGAGUCAAACUACUCAAACUUGCUCAAACGGGCCCACAACCCCCAAAUUUCCGAAAGUUCCUAUGGGCUCUACAAGGAUCAGGAUACACUUCCUGCAAGUUUGGUUCAGAUCGGACGGUCGGAUCGCUCACGAUCGCACGAUCGGACGGUUAUUGUAAAAAUAGCCAUAGGAUUGGCACUUUCGGAGUGUCCGGGACUCCGUUUUACGAUCCGUCGAAUCCUAUACGAUCCUAAAGAUGCCUCGAUUAUCAUAUAUCAAAUUGGAGUUGAUCCAACGGUUUGAACAUGUCAAACCGGAUAACGCCUAUUAUGCGAUAUCCGAUUGACGAUCAAACGAUAACCAAAUUCAAAUCCGAGCAUACCGUCAUGCUCGGGACAACAAGAGGGUUAUUUUGAAACUCUAAGACAGGCCACCACAUGACCCACGCGCCACCCCACGCGCCGGCAGUGCGUAGGUGUCCAAAGAAAUUUCCGGCGGCCGGAAAAACUCCAAACCGCCGGCCAAGACUCCCAGGUUAGGUAAAUCACAUGUAGUGGAGCAACUUUUGUUCUUGAACCUACCUCAAAAAGUAGACGGAAGUGGCCGAAAACUGACAGAAUUUCAAUCGCUUAUUUAACCCCCUAAACACAGAAAUUUCUCAUUUCCCACACAACCAUCAGCUAGAACGUCUCGAGAGGUUGAGAAAGCAUACCUGGAUCGAAGAAAAUGGUGGUCGGAGGAGUCCGAACGAGCUCCGUGAAUUUUGGGUUAAAACCGGUCGGUUUUUGUCAUUUUUCGGUGAGCACAGGUGGUUCCAGCGGCUGAGGCUGGUCGGGAAGGAAAGAGUGAGGUGGCCUGGUUCUUUCGGGACCGGUACCUCCCGAAACGGUGGCCGGAUGCGACGGUGGUGACCCAAAAUCCCGGCUGAUGAAUAGUAACAGGGGGCUGUUUCUUGCGAAGGGAGAGGGAGGAAGCAGAAGAAGAAGAAGAAAAAGAAAAAGAAAAUUUAAAACUGCCCGGUUACUGUAGCACGAAACUGUUUGCUACACUAACAAAUUUUAAAAAUUACCUUUGCAUCCUUUUUGUUUUCAGACUUUUCCUUUUUCGUUACAACUCAAAAUUGGGCGUGCUGCAUGUCUACGAACUCAUGUCGACAAGCUCUACGUAAUGGUACCACUUACUUCUCCAAAAUCUUUUCGAAUCAGAAAAUAACCAAAAAACCCUUAUCCAAAGGGUAUAUUCGUAAAUUCAUAUUUAAAUUAAUUUAAUAAUUUAAUUGGGUAAAUAAAUUAGGGUCGGGGUGUUACAUAACUUGCAAACUAAUAGUUUCAUGUUCGAACUCUCAUGGCACCUUGGUAAUGUGCGUGAGAAAAUCCCCUCCUUAUUCCUAACUUUGGCAACCAAAAAAAAAAAGCGAGUCAUCAGGCCAUCAUAUAAAUUCAUCUCUUGUUGUUCGAUCAACAAAAAAAACUCAUCUUGUUAUUUUUUAUUUCAAAAUUAUUUAAUGAAUGCGUAGAACAAUAUAAUAAUGUAAAUAUAUUGGAUUAUUUAUCAUUAAACAUCAGUAAAAUUUUAAAAAUAUAGACAAUAAAAUGUUAUUAUAUAGUAUGAUGUACUUGCCAUUUUAAGUUUUUUUUUUUACUAGUAAGUAUACAAAACAUAUUUUAUUAUGUACAAGGCAUAUUAGUAAUCAAAUUGAUUUUGAUUCCUAUUACUGAAUACUUACAUAAGAAUGAUAUAAUAAUUAGUGGAAAAAAAAGAGGCCUGGUUUCAAACAAAGUACUAAUUACAUGAGUGGGAAAUAUAACUUCUGUUUACUUAUGUUACUCCAUUAAUAAAAUAAUAUAUUAAUUUGUAGCAACUCCGAUCUCUUGGACCAUAAGGGUCCAAGAGAUUUGUGGUCACCCACCGUUGAAUGUUAAUCUAACAGUUCAAAAGUUUCUUAAAAGGAGUACAAAAGCGAGUGAACCGCUGAAUUUACAUCCAACGGUGAGUGACCAUAAAUUUCGUGGACUCCUGUAGUCCAAGAGAUCGAGACUGUAAUUUGUAGAGGAAAUAGGUAACAAAUUUCCUAAAACCCUUGCUAUAUAUUUCUGUCCUGAAAGAUUUAAGGAGCCUCAAAUUUGGAUAUUGCAACCACUUGAGACGUUAAUUAAUUAGACUUUAGAGAACGGUUAGGAUAUUGCAAUUUUUGGAUAUUAUAUAUUCUUUCUCUACUUUACCUUAAUGACUCAUAAUUACCCACUAGCACUGUAACACAGCUUCAAGUUGAAGCCAUGGCAGAGGCGUGGGAGGGGAGAAAGACUACGUAUUUUUAUAGUGUUAUCUCUGACUAAUAAUACUAUAGUAUUCGUGAUAAUACUUCGAUGUGGCAUAACAUUAUUGGCCGAAAAUAACAAAAUAAUACUAUCUCCAUUACAAUUACGUUUUUAUCCGUGGGCUGCUCUUAGGCUUAUCUAGUCUUUAAAAUGCAGUUGAAGAAUUUAUUAUUAUAAAAAUGACGUGAGAGAGAGGGAGGGGGUCAUAUAUUUUCAGAAUAAUUUUGCUAAAAAACGAAAGCAGAAGAAUUAAUUAUUAUGAAAAUGACGUGUAAUAAAACCACAGGUUGUGUGACAUUGCCGUACGGUACAUGCAGUCGGUGAGUCCACAGAUGACCAUGCAUUUGUUUUGAGUCGGAUUAAGCAGUGAAUGGGGGCACUAGUUGUCCAUCUUUAUAUGACCCAAUGACUUAAGAUAUCUAUAUGCAUAGAGACUUUUAAAAAGUAGAAGCAAUACAGCCUUAGAAAGGCAGUGCGUGCAUGGAAAAGGAUUAUCUGGUCCCGAUAUAAAUUUACGGUACCUAAUACAUUAGCGCUAAUUGAUAAUUUUUUGAUACUCUAAUGAUAAGAUUGACAAUUAGUGUCGAAUUGAGAAUAUAUCAGGUACGAUAAGUGUCGAAUUGAGAAUAUAUCAGGUAUGAUAAAUUGAUAUUAAAUAUUUAGUCGGUAGUUGGUAGGUACUUAGUAGCUAUUAAGUAAAUAUUAUAUGAGAUAUGAAGAUCAACAUGAAUUAUAUCUUUGUAAUUAAGUAGCUAUGCUUGUAUCUGGUCUCGAUUUGUAUAUCUAUUAUUAGGUAAAAUACUUUGAGAAAGCACAAAUAGUUUGUGGACAUGAGCGAUAGAUACUGUGGUUGGAUUAUCAACAAUGACAGUGUGAACGACUUUUCUUCAUGGUGUGCUUUAGCUACAUCUUCUACGCUUCUGCGUUGGUCACAUUCAUGUAAUCUUGAACAUGAAGCAACGUACCACAAAGGCUACCAAAACUUUAAUAACUGUGGACCAGAAGGAAGCAGUAUAUAGGUCCUACUACCUGUGCAUUUUUGCUGACUAAUAGUUUGAUGCUUAAGGUAAAUCCAAUACAAUUAGUGUAAAUGUCGUUUUACUAUAUAAUUAGGUAUAUCCAAUACAAAAUAAAUCUUUAAUCUUGAACAUAUUUAUAUAGGGGAUUCUAUGACUCACAAAGAAAACCUACGGAUACAUUUAUGUUUAUGUUUAAUCUCAUUUUCUCUUUUGUAAUUCCAUCUACUUUUCAUAAGAGUUUGUUUGAAACAACUUAUAUAUAAAAACUACGCUUGUUUUUAGAUGAUUAUUGUGGUAGGAUGUAAUCAACAAAAUAGACAAACACGGUAUUUCAAGAAAAGAAUAUAAUAAAAACUAUCUAAUUGAAUGAUCAAAUAGUUUCGGAUCCAAGUGAUUGUCGCAGAGAUGAUCUUUGAAGAAAUAUCUAAAAACUAGAUGGUAUUGGAUUAUUGAAAUGCAUGGUGAGUCUUAUAAGGGUGUCUUUCAAAUAAACUUAUUUGAGAAAUCCCUCAACUAAAGCCAUAUCAGUCUCCUUCUCACAAUAUUUAUAUACACACCACACCUUUUGUGAAAAUCUAAAAAUGCUAAAUUAGAAAUGAAAACUGACAGUUAAAGAACUCUCAUGAUCACUCUACAAGAUUGUGACCUGAAUGAUGAAUCAGCAGCUUAAGUUCACCCCAUUAAUAAAAUCUUUUGCCGUUCCCAUCCCGCCUCUAAUAAAAGCUUACUUAAUACGUAGUCCCAUCAACCCCUACCAUCAAAGUAGGGGUUGAAUUUGGUGCUCUUUAGCCUUUAAUCACCACAAGAGUCACAAAUUCUUCUCUCUCCUUAUCUUUCCAACCCCACUGAUAUCUCAGGCAGGUCUAUAAAUAGGAAGAACCAAGCCAUAUUAUACUCACUCAGCAAUCAUCUCUUGCAUACUUUCAUAUAUACAUUAUCGUGCUUCUUGUUAAGCAAAACAUGGCAUCCUCAAAGGCUUUUCUUCUUCUUGGUCUUGUCUUUGCUGUUCUCCUCAUCUCCUAUGAGGUCUUAGCUAUUCCAACUCGUGAGUUUCUCACUUUCUUAACUAAAUCAUAAAUAUUAAAUUAGUAAUUGUAUCUUUCUUUCCAGUAACGAUUUGUGAAUUUAUGCACAUUUUAAUUAAGGUGCACUGGUCGUGAAAAUAAUUAUGCUUCGAACUCUUUUUCUACAUGUAGGGUUAGUAGUUGUUGCACUUGCAUGGCUUAAUUUGCAUCUUAUUAAAUACAAACCGAUUUAUGAUUGUUAUAAGUUAUGUAUAUUGUUUUUGCUUUAUAUAUAAAGUUUUUGGUUGUUCUCUCAGAGUCAGAGGAGAGUACAGUCAACGGUGAUGCCCGCGGAUUUGGAGGUCAUGGCCGCGGAUUUGGAGGUCAUGGCCACGGACAUGGAGGUCAUGGCCACGGACAUGGUGGUCAUGGCCACGGACAUGGAGGUCAUGGGCACGGACAUGGAGGUCAUGGCCACGGACAUGAAGGGUAUGGCCACGGACAUGGUGGAUAUGGCCACGGCGGCCACGGCCACCACGGCCACCACGGCCACCAUGGCAUAGGGAGGCCUGGUGCUGCUGAGACUGAAAUCAAGAAUUAGAUAACCUGUUAGUUUCUGUGACUUACGUUGCAGGUGUGUUGUAAGGGUAGCAGUACGAAAUAAAGUUGUUUGGUUGAGUAAUCUAUAUGAACUCUCAAUCAUAAACUGUCCUAAGCUUGUUCUCAUGUUUCUCAUGUUCUCUGUAAUGUACGCAUUGUAAUGUACGCAUUGGAAUGUGUUCUCUUGUUAUGUGAUAAAAUGUGAUGUAACUUUCUCAAUACAUAUUAUGUCAAAAAUGUUUAGUGUGGCUUGGCUCCUUAAAAUUGAGGGGGAGCACAUCCUCAUAACAAAUGAGAUUUUGGCACUAGUUAAACUUCAAAAAAAUAAAAAUAAAAAGAGGUUAAAAGAAUUCAAAUGAAAAAAAAAAUUAAAGGAAUUUGCCAAGUGUCAAAACUCUAUUUCUUUUGAGGAGGAACUGCUCCUCAGUUUUGUGGAGCCAAACUUUUUCCUAAUAUUAAUGGAGUUCAUGUAGACUCAUUUGUUUUGGGUACCAAAUUUAAUGAAUUGUGUAUUCAUUGGUGGACCCAUAAGCAUACAGUUUUUAAUUUAGGUGAGAUACUCUCGGCAAUUUAAAUCAUGUCAAAAACAUGAUAUCAAAAAAAAUCAGCCGUCAUCGAGUUUGUAGAUAAAGAAAUAAUAUAUAUGAAUGAACGUAAGCUAUAGAGAAGAACAUUUUGUGGAAAACUAGAAAUUUGUAGGGAGAAAUAAGAGGAAGAAAGGGAGUAUAAUUUGCUCAAAUAAACUUGUAUUCCAUUCAUAUUUGGUGCCACUAUUUAUAGGGGUAGAGAGGCCUAAAUCAUUUACCACCAAUAAUUGAUAGGUGACAAAUAUAUAAUGAUGAGUAUUAUGAUAGGUUAAUAGUGGCCAGUAAUUGGGGAGGGUUCCCUCUCUCUCUCUGACUCCCUCACUUUGGAUUCUGUAUUGAUUGUUCCAUCCUUACAUCAUAAUCUCUUAUAUGUUGCCCAAAUUACUACAUCUUUGAAUUGCAUUGUAACCUUUUGGCCUACACAUUGUGUUUUUUAGGACAUUCUCAGCAGCAAGACGAUUGGUUGUGGUACUAGGACGGGCAAACUCUACUAUCUGGACUUGGCAUCUGACAGUGAAGCCAGCCUCAGUCAAGCUUACAAAAUUGGGGUUACGAGUGUUGAGAAGCAAACUUUCGGAGUAUGGUUAUGACAUCGCCGACUUGGACAUGCUUCAUUUGGAUAUUUACAGAAGCUAUUUUCUUCCUUAUUUUUCCAGUUAGAUAUCUCUAGUUUUACGUGUAACAUCUGUGAAAUAGCCAAGAGCCAUCGUGUUCCUUUCCCUUUAAGUUCACAUAAAAGUUUGGUUCCUUUUUCUCUUGUUCAUUAUGAUAUUUGGGGCCCGCUAAAAUUACCACUCUCGGGGGAGCUAGAUGGUUUGUCGCGUUUAUCGAUGAUUGCACACGUAUGACCUGGGUUUCCCUUCUUCAAACAAAAGGAGAAGUCAGUUUCAAGUUUCAACAGUUCUAUCACAUGGUGGAGACACAAUUUCAUACAAGAAUUCAAGUUCUUCGGUCUGACAAUGGCGGAGAAUUUUUCUACCAUAAUCUUACUCAAUUCUUACAAGAUCAUGGCAUCAUACAUCAACGCUCAUGCCCUUACACUCCCCAACAGAAUGGUGUGGCUGAACGAAAGAAUAAACACUUAUUGGAAGUGGUUCGUGCCUCUCUCUUUGGUGCCAAUAUGCCUCGGUCUUUCUGGGGAGAAGACGUCCUCUUUGUAGCAUACCUUAUCAAUCUGAUUCCCUCCAGUAUCCUUAAUUUCCAAACCCCCCCUUCAAACACUCUACCACCAUAUCCAAAUACCUUAUACCAAAAACCUAGAACUACGGAUUUUUGGUUGUGUGGUCUUUGUCUUCUUACAUGAUCACUAACACAACAAAUUGAAUCCCCGCGCCAAAAAGUGUGUUUUUAUUGGUUAUGCACCUCAUUAGAAAGGUUACCGGUGUUAUGAUUCUCCUAGUCAGAAGGUCUAUACUUCUAUGGCUGUUGUGUUCCGAGAACACGACAUAUAUUUUUCAGCCAUACAGGAGGAGCAUUGCGAUGCCAACACAUCUCAAAUUUCAAGACUUUUCCUUUCAGAAUUGUCACAUACUGAAAACGACCAGUUGCAGAAUGCAAGCGACCGGUCGCCGAAGACUCUGCCUGAAAACGACCGGUCGCCUAAGACUCUGCCUGAAAGCGACCGGUCGUCCCCCGGAAAUCCGAAUCUGCUUCAAAACGACCGGUUGUCUCUCUGUUGUCAAACUCAGGAGGAGAACAUUGAGGAGUUUUUGCCCGCUCAGGAGAAUUCUUUAACUCCAGUACCCCACCAAUCACCUGCUGAGGACGUCAUUCAGGUAACCUCUUUUCCUGAAACUAAUAACAUUAAUGAAAUAUCCUAUGAUGAUUUAAUUUCAGAAGGCACAUAGCCUACAUAUUAGAUUCCAAAAUGGAAGAACGGUGGAAAACCUUCAGUUCACUACGAAGCAGACCUUAAUGCAAAAUGGAAAUAUCCCAUCGACAAUUAUGUAUCCAUCAGUAGAUUAUCGGAAUCACGGGUACACUUUGUGAAGCAGUUGGAUGGCAUACCUGUUCCCAACAAUGUAACUGAAACACUAGAAGACUCAACAUGGAAAGAAGCCAUGAAUGAAGAAAUGCAAGCUCUUCAGAAGAAUGACACAUGGGAACUCGUGCCAUUACCUCAUGGAAAGAAGACUGUCGGAUGCAGGUGGAUUUAUACUGUGAAACUCAAAGUAGAUGGAUCCAUUAAAAGAUAUAAAGCUAGAUUGGUGGGGAAAUGCUACACACAAAGAUAUGGGAUAGACUACCAUUAGACUUUUACCCCAGUAGCCAAGAUUAAAACUAUCAGAGUUCUUCUAUCUUUAGCAGCAAAUCUCGAUUGGCCAUUACAUCAGUUUGUUGUAAAAAAUGCAUUCUUACAUGGAGACUUGGAAGAAGAAGUAUAUAUGGACUUGCCACAAGAAUGUAACUUAGCUCGUGACAAGGAGAAUCAAGUUUGCAAGCUCUGAAAGUCAUUGUAUGGGUUAAAGCAAUCCUCUAGGGCAUGGUUUGGCAGAUUCACUAAAUCUAUGAAGAAUUUUGAAUAUAUACAAAGUAAUGUAGAUCACACCUUGUUCUUGAAGCAUGAUGGAAGAAGACUUACUGCACUGAUUGUUUAUGUGGAUGACAUAGUCGUAACUGGAAACGACACAGAAGAGCAAUUGACACUGCAGAAAUAUUUGUCUCAGGAAUUUGAGAUGAAGAAUCUAGGUGAUCUGAAGUACUUUAUAGGAAUUGAAGUAGCUAGGUCCAAAACUAGUAUAUUUCUGUCUUAAAAGAAGUAUGUAUUAGAUCUGCUCACUGAAAUAGGAAUGCUUGGAUGCAAACCUGCUGAUACACCCAUCGAGAUGAAUCACAAGUUAUGUGAAGACAUGGAUCAAGAACCAACCAAUAAGGAACAGUACCAACACCUUGUUGGAAGGUUGAUAUAUUUAGCUCACACAAGACCAGAUAUUGCAUAUGCUGUGAGUAUGGUUAGUCAGUUUAUGCAUUCACCCAGUGUGUCCCAUAGGAAUGCAGUUGAUCGGAUCUUAAGAUACUUAAAGUCAGCACAUGGAAAAAGGGUUAACAUUCUAAAAAAAUAGAGAUCUCAAAGUUGUUGGAUAUACAAAUGCUGAUUGGGCUGGCUCCGUUACUGACAGACGCUCUACUUCAGGUUACUUCACUUGUGGGAGGUAACCUAGUCACUUGGCGGAGUGAAAAACAAAAUGUGGUUUCUCGAUCUAGUGCUGAAGUAGAGUAUUGAGGAAUGGCUCACGGAGUUUGUGAAUUACUAUGGAUCAGAAGACUAUUGACAGAAUUGGGGUUUAAGCCAGGAAAGCCAAUGGAGUUACAUUGUGAUAACAAGUCAGCCAUCGAUAUUGCCCAUAGUCCAAUUCAACAUGAUCGAACUAAACAUGUUGAGGUGGAUAGACAUUUUAUCAAAGAAAAACUUGAGAAGAAGAUCAUCCGCCUACCGUUGGUAAAAUUAGAAGAUUAGUUGGCAAAUAUCUUAACCAAAGCUGUUUGUGGAAGAGUAUUUUCUGACUCACGUACCAAGUUGGGCAUUGGUGACAUAUAUGCACCAACUUGAGGAGGAGUGUCGACUUGAGUCUCCUAAUUAAUCAAGGAGGUUUACUUCCUUGAUUAAUUAAGGGAUUUACUUUCCUAUUUUUUAUAUAGUUGAUAAAUCAUUGUAUAAUUAGAAGAUACUUGCCUAAUUCUUUACUGUAUCUAAUUCCUUGUAUAGCACCCUGUAAACUCUUAUAUAUACCUCAUUAUGGAGAAGAAUAAAGUUAACCUAAUACAUUCAAAUCAUAUUCAUAUUUUAGCAUUCUCCUCAUCUCCUCUGAGGUCUCAACUACUCCAACUCGUGAGUUUCUCACUUUAAAUUAGUAAUUGUAUCUUCCUUUCCAGUAACGAUUUGUAAAUUUAGGCACAUUUUAAUUAUAAGGUGCACUGGUCUUGAAAAUGAUUAUGCUUCGAACUCUUUUUCUACAUGAAGGGCUAGUGGUUGCACCUGCAUGGCUUAAUUUGCACCUUAUUAAAUACAAACCUAGCUAUGAUUGUUAUAAGUUAUGUAUAUUGUUUUUGCUCUAUAUAUAAAGUUUUUGUUUGUUCUCUUAGAGGAGAGUAUAGUGGUGGCGGAGCCACUUCUAGGCCAGGAGCGGCCCUGGUCCCUUUAUUUUUUUUGACUUCUCUCCUAUAUUAUAUAAUGUAAUAUAUACAACUUACUAAUAGACAACUUGUAAUUCAAAUUAAUGGCCCCUUUAAAAAUAAUUAGGCAUGACUAAUUUUGAAAAUUUUAGCUCUAACAUGUGUUUUGAACACUUAUAUGUAUUUGAUAUACUUGUGUUUUCUAUCUUGGCCCCCUCAAUCUUAAAUUUCUAGCUUCGCCCGGUGAUGAUUUUCUAGAUGACCAUGGUGACGGACGUGGAGGGUAUGGCCACAGACAUGGAGGGUAUGGCCAUGGCCACCACGGCAAAGGGGGGCCUUGUGCUGCUAAGACUGAAACCAAGAAUUAGAUAACCUGUUAGUUUCUGUGACUUACGUUGCAGGUGUGUUGUAAGGGUAGUAGUACAAAAUAAAGUUGUUUGGUUGAGUAAUCUGUAUGAAC
rnacentral:lncRNA from 1 species